GUAGACGUUAGCUCAGUGGUUAGAGCACAGGCAUCUUGCUCUCGGGUCCGCGAGUUCGAGUCCCGUCGUCUACU
rnacentral:tRNA from 1 species